rnacentral:lncRNA from 1 species
CGGGGCUGCCAGGGGCGGCACACUCCAGCGCCAGCCAGAGAGCUAGCGCCGCUUGAGGCCGGCCGGGGACGAGGCGCUUUACACUGCCUGAUGGGUACUAGCAGCCCACCCCAGCCAGAUGGAGGACAAGGCCUCUCCAAGUCUCAAGGAAAUGCACAAUCCUUCCUUACCUCUGGCCUCAGAACUCUCAGCAUCUCAUUGAUUAGCAACCUCAUCUGUGGCAAAUCUAAGGUUCAGAGGAAAAAGAACAGAUUUGCGACCGGGCACGUUGGCUCAUGCCUGUAAUCCCAGCACUUUGGGAGGCCGAGGUGGGUGGAUCACCUGAGGUCAGGAGUUCGAGACCAGCCUGACCAACAUGGAGAAACCCCGUCUCUACUAAAAAUACAAAAAAAAUUAGCCAGGCGUGGUGGCGCAUGCCUGUAAUCCCAGCUACUCGGGAGGCUGAGGCAGGAGAAUUGCUUGAACCUGGGAGGUGGAGGUUGUGGUACCAGCCUGGGCAACAAGAGCAAAACUUCAUCUCAAAAACACAAACAAACAAACAAAAAAGAACAGAUUUGCUUUUUUCUUAAUAAAGAAAAAUGUUUUGAAUUCACUCUGUAGAAAUUUAAAACUGCUUGAUGUUUUAGUGAUCAAAAUAAAAUUAUCAAAGCUAAAAAUACCAAAUAGAUAUGUCACUAAAUUGAUUAUUUUGUUCCUCAUAGUAAUUUUAAAAAAUACAUUCAGGCUGGGUGCAGUGGCUCACACCUGUAAUCCCAGCACUUUUGGAGUCCAGGCAGGUGGAUCACGAGGUCAGGAGUUUAAGACCAGCCUGGCCAAUAUGUUGAAACCCCGUCUCUACUAAAAAUGCAAAAAUUAGCCAGGCAUGGUGGCGCGUGCCUGUAGUCCCAGCUAUUCAGGAGGCUGAGGCAGGAGAAUCACUUGAACCUGGGAGGCGGAAGUUGCAGUGAGCCGAGGUCAUGUCACUGCACUCCAGCCUGGGUGACAGAGCAAGACACCGUCUCAAAAAAAAAAAAAAAAAAAAAACAGAAUGCAUUCAGAGGAAAAUAUUGGCAGAACUCAUAAAACUUGCCAAUGUGACUUCUGGAGAAAUCUUCACUCAUCAUACCUGAAUAUUUUAUAUUCUGUCUGACUUCACUACUCAUCUUGGCUACCCUGAAAAUAGAUUCCAGCUUCCUGAUUACCUCACCAGCCUGUCUGUGGUUUCUUCAACCAGGCUGUCCCUACACCAGUCCAGUCCUGCUGUGUUUAUUUCCAAAUUACCUCUCGGUAGCAGUACCUGACCAUAUGCAGAUUGCCCAUAUGGAAAUGUAUUUGAAGGGAUAAACCAGUGAUCAUCAUUCUCUUAACCUCUUGGAAAAAAGAUAUCUAUUUGAUGUCAACACUGUGUCUAUGUUCUAGCAAAUAAUAUUUUGUUGAGUGAACAAAAUAAAUUUAUAUUUCAAAAGAGAUGUACACAUAAAAUUACCCUGGAUAGGAAAUUAGAACAUCUUGGAUCCGGUCUGUUUCUUCCGUUAUCUAGGUCUGGUAUCUUAGGCAAGUCCCUUUCUGGGCUUCUUUUACUCCCAUCAGUAAUGGAAAAUGUGAAACUAGAUCUCUGAGAUGUCUCCUAGAUCUCCAUAUUCUUUAAUUCUUUCAUUUAAAAUAUAUACUUUUGUCACAUUCCUAGAGAUCCCCAAAGCAUUGCUCCCCCUCUUCCUACAUCUGUCUCUGGGAUAAAGUUAAACUUUGGUUCCCAAGCAAAUUUCGAAGCUCCCUCUGGGGUCAUUAAAAGUCUUAGUUUACUCAGAGCUUGUUGGUUUUGCCUAGAAAUCUCGGCUGCUCUCACCAAGUAGAGCAAGAGACUACUGUUAUUGUUUUGAGCCAGCCCGUAGCAUAGUAACAAUUCUGGGCAAUACGGAGUUGAUCCAUAUGCCCAGCUCCCUGGGGAACCUCCUUACUUCAGUCUGUCCAGCAUGCGUGUUUGCCUUCUGUCUUUGGGCCUUUAUCCAUAGGAAAGACGAAAUAUGAAUAUAAUCCAGGACUGAGGGAAAAUAAUGACUGGAAUUGCAGCUACUCUAUUCUACCACUUCACAUUAUAAAUAGAGAAGCUAAGACCCAGGUGCAAUGAUGAAGCUCACCUAAAAUAAUAACAAAUGAUUGGUUAAACCAAUAUCUUAACUCCUCUCUCCUGUUGGAUUGAAUCCCUUGUCACUCUGUUCCUUGGAGAAAUUCGGAAUGUAAGUAGUAAACUAACUGAGCCAGUUUACUUCUGAAGGAGGGAGACACUUUAUAUUUUAAAAUAAACUUAUUUAACUCUAAACCAGUUUCAAACUUUCAAUCACUACUUUUGAGGUACUAUAAAAAUAUACCUAUGUACGCUUAAAACCUUUUCAGGUUCAGAGGACUAGGACUAGCUUUAGAUGACUCCUUACUUUCAAUGAUGCAAGUCGUAUAAACAAAAUAUCCAUUUUUGUUCACACUUCAGUCCUAAUAUACCCAUGAGAAAACAUGAGUCACUAACUUGACGUUCUACUCCUGGAAGACUGCCAGCCCUCAGGUUCUAUCACAUAAAAGCAAAUGAUAGGUUGAUUUGUUAAAAUAAAUAUCAAAUAAAUUAUAAUUAAUUUCCUUCAAAGUAGACACCUUGGUGUUACAUACGCUGAUCUCAUUGAUGAUAUCAAUGCUUUGGGAAGGACUUGUGGAGAAAUUUCUUAUUUUAUAACCAAAACUGAUUGUUUUUCUUUUUUACCAAAGAAGAGUCUUUUUAAAUUCAUUUUCCAUUUUGUUUUUCUUUUUUACCAAAGAAGAGUCUUUCUAAAUUCAUUUUCCAAAAUCAACUCCAGGUGACAUUUAGAUGUUUCCUGAAUUCGAGUAAACUUCAAAAGAUAAAGAAUUACCCUUAUUAAAAAUAAUAGUAAUUGAAGCCAGUCUUCUAAAUGUUCAGAGACCUUUCUUUUGAUUAAUGAAUAAUCAUUUCAUAUAUAAUAAUCACAGAUUUUUAAAAUGUAAUGUUACUUUAAUUUUUGUAGCCCUUGAUCAUUUUCAAAGCCCUUUCACAUGUGUAAAAUGAUAGUGAUACAGCUGAUGUCUCACCACCUGGUCUGGUCUUCUGGGCAUUUCCUAUAUAAAGGCUUUGGGUUGUGUUGCAAAGCUGGAGAAAUUCAAAAUCUUGCUUGCCCCCUGGGACUGCCAUUAGUAAACCAAUGACAAUCUGCUUACCUAUACCCUAGGACUCUACACUUCAAACUAAUGUACUCCUCACAUUUCCAUCAUUAUUGAAAACUUUAGCUAGUAGGAAAACUUUUAUUAAAGCAAUCCAUUUAUCUUUCUAGAGACAUUCUCUGUACUCCAGAGUUUUCCCACACUUUGAGAAAUAAACUUAAUAGUAUGAAUCCCAAAUGUUGGGAUAUAUGAAAGAGUUGCUAUUAAAUAUCUUUUUUUCUCUAUUUUUUCCUUACUUCAUUCCUGAUAUAUUCACUAGAAAACAAUUACUGAACUCUGCAUCUGAAAGACUGCCAGACCUCAGAUUGUUACACAAAAUUUGAAAUUCUCCAGGGAUCUGCUUCUCUAUUAUUGCAAGAUAACAGAAAAUAACAGUUAAAAAUAGGAGUUUACCCUUGUAUUACACUUGCUACCCCAUGUUCACUGGCAAAACUUAUGACCCUUCUCUUGGAAGAUUAUGCUGUAAUUGACUAAGGCUUUCUGAUAAGGACAUUAAAAUUCAGAGAUAAAAUUUUUAUUUAUUCACUUCUUUUUCAGUGACAUUCCUUGUAAGAGGACCUCUGAUGUGACAUUUUAAGAAUAGAACGAUGUGGCCAGAUUAUGUAUUUAUUCAAAAUCUGUUUUUUUCUCCAUGAUUAGAGAUUAAAACUCAGAUUUUCCUGAUAAUGAAACAGACUAUGACCUCAGGAUAUGCUUUAUCUCAAAUCUCACAAUGAAUCUAGGACUAAAUCAGCAAAUGAGGCUCAGUGACUAGCUUUCCAGUAGUGGUUAGGCAAAUCACAUGGUCUCCUACUAUCAUACUUGUCCAAACUUCCUACUACCUUCCUUUUUCCCUGCAACCACACAGUGACCUACUAUUCCAAAAGAAAGUUGAAGAGCUCAUGAUGAGCAAGGAAAUUAUACAGAGAUAAUCUUGGAUGCUUAAGCUCAUUGGAUGCUCCAGGCUGAGAGAAUCUUUUAAGUUCCUCUAGUCCAGAUUCCUGAUUCAGGUGAAGACGCUGAAGCCUAGAUUAGAAAGUGAUUAACAUACAAUGUUAUAGUGAUUGGUGGCCGAACUAGAAACACAUCAUGUUUUUGUAGAUAGAGCUCUUUUUUUUUUUUUUAAGAAUGACCAUGUCAGGAUUGAGAUUUAAAACUCUUCCUUGCUGAUUUAACGAAAAUUGUAGUUAAACUGCAUAUGGGAUCCUUAGAUGUUCUUUAGAGUCUCCGAGGCUUUUUGGAAACCCUGCUCCCACUUCGGCCAGAGCUCUUUGAUUUUAUUUGCAUAUAAUGUAUUAGAAAACUAAUAAGAUACUGCUACUUCACGCUUUGAAAAACCUUAGCUUCGGAAAAGCCACAGGUACAGCCAACACACCCCAUAAACUCCAGGCAGGAUCUGUGAAGAAGACAUUAUUGAGGACAAAGAAAAUAUGCAAGAUUUAUCAAGGGCUCAAAGUUGAAAACAUCAAUAUUGUUCAACUGCACAAGAGUUUAGAAGUUGGGUAAUGCCCAACCUGGUUUUUACUAACCCUGUUUUUAGACUCUCCCUUUCUCCUUUAAUCACCUAGCCUUGUUUCCACCUGAGUUGACUCUCCCUUAGCUAAGAGAGCCAGACAGACUCCAUCUUGGCUCUUUCACUGGCAGCCCCUUCCUCAGGGACUUAACUUGUGCAAGCUGACUCCCAGCACAUCCAAGAAUGCAAUUAACUGAUAAGAUACUGUGGCGAGCAAUAUCCGCAAUUCUCAGGAUUUUGUCUGAUUGAUGACGCCCAAAGCCCCGGAUCUAUCACCUUGUAAUAGUCUUUAAGCCCCUGCACCUGGAGCUGUUUACUUUCCUGUAACCAUUCAUCCUUUUAACUUUUUGCCACUUUAUUUCUGUAAAAUUGUUUUAACUAGACCCCCCCACUUUCCAAACCAAAGUAUAAAAGAAAAUCUAGCCCCUUCUUCUAGGGGCCGAGAGAAUUUUGAGUGUUAGCCGUCUCUCGGUCGCCAGCUAAUAAAGGACUCUUAAUUCGUCUCAAAGUGUGG